AUGUUUUGUGUUGUUGUAGCCUAGAUUUGCAGUAGAUGCUAUGAUGUAUAUGGAUAUACAUCUAUACCUGUAGAUUUAGGUGUUUAAUGCAAUAAAUUACAUUGAUCUCUAAUGUAAUUGGUUCAUGGCAGGUGUUUGUAAGCUAUUUAAGAACAUA